UGGUCUGCGCAGCUUAGAGCAGCAUUAAUUUCCAAUGUGUGUUUCUUCCUUCUAGAAGCCAAGGCCCCAUUUAUGAAAGCUGGCUGUCAUCCAGUCUUAACUACAACGAGAACGUUCACGUUUGGCCGCUCUCGAAGUGAGAAGGGCGAGGAGGGUGAAAGUUUUUUUUUUUUUUUUUGGAAAUGAGCCUUUAAAAUCGUGCUUAACCACGUGACAGAUGAGGGCACCGAAGAGCCAGGCGGCGACAGGUGUUCCAAGUUCGAAUCACUACCGAGUGCGGUUGGCAAGGUUGGAAUGCCAUUCCCUGACAAGAGCGACUUGAGGGAGAGCGACUUUAUUUCGGCUGAGUCCGUCACGGUUUCCGCCACCACAUCAGGGUUAGAUCUGGAGGGCGUGGAGCUAAGUUCCCAGGAACAGGGCCGGCUAUACUCUCAUUCAUGCGCGGAGAUGCUUGUCAGAUGGUGACUGAAACCAGAAGGAGAGAUCUGUGCCGGGGAUAAGCAGAGACACUGAUCUACAAAGGAAAGAGCCACCCAAACAAACAGAGCAACUGGGGCCUCAUUAACAACUGUUUCUCACACUGUGAAAGCAAGACUCACUCAUCAACCCUUCUCUGGUGUGAAGUGGAGACAUGGCAUCCCAACUUCAGAAACAUUCAGGAAAGGCUCUGUAGGUUCUCACCAGAAUGUGGUCCCAAGUUACCAUGGAAACCUUCAUGUGGAAAAGCCUUUACUAAAAACAGUCUCAUACUCAGUAUGAGGAGAAUAUUUAGAGCCCAAGAAAG